CUUCCCUCUAUUUUCGUAUCUCUUUUACAUUGAAUAAUUCCCUCCCUUUUGAGUACAUGAAAUAGGGCUUUUAUAGCCCGAAAAUUGUUUGCUAUUUUACAUGUUUUCUUCUAUUGGACUCUUUAAUCCGUGUUUGCAGGCGAAAGUGGAGAUUUCAGCGCGCGCAGAGGUGGUCGACUCUGGAUCUUGCAGCGGCUGGAGAAGUUGCUGUUGGGAUUUGCAGCUAACUGCUUAGGGUUUCUGUUUUGGGGGUUUGGGCUGUUAAUUGG
rnacentral:lncRNA from 1 species